GACGAACGCUGGCGGCGUGCUUAACACAUGCAAGUCGAACGGAAAGGCCCUGCUUUUGUGGGGUGCUCGAGUGGCGAACGGGCGCGUAACACGUGAGUAACCUGCCCUUGACUUUGGGAUAACUUCAGGAAACUGGGGCUAAUACCGGAUAGGAGCUCCUGCUGCAUGGGGGGGGUUGGAAAGUUUCGGCGGUUGGGGAUGGACUCGCGGCUUAUCAGCUUGUUGGUGGGGUAGUGGCUUACCAAGGCUUUGACGGGUAGCCGGCCUGAGAGGGUGACCGGCCACAUUGGGACUGUGAUGCGGCCCAGACCCCUACGGGAGGCAGCAGUGGGGAAUAUUGCACAAUGGGCGGAAGCCUGGUGCAGCAACGCCGCGUGCGGGAUGACGGCCUUCGGGGUGUAACCCGCUUUCGCCUGUGACGAAGCGUGAGUGACGGUAAUGGGUAAAGAAGCACCGGCUAACUACGUG
rnacentral:rRNA from 1 species